AGAACGAACGCUGGCGGCAUGCCUAACACAUGCAAGUCGAACGAAGGCUUCGGCCUUAGUGGCGCACGGGUGAGUAACGCGUGGGAACCUACCCUAUGGUUCGGAAUAACCGCGGGAAACUGCGGCUAAUACCGGAUGAGCCGGUUCGCCGGGAAAGAUUUAUCGCCAUUGGAUGGGCCCGCGUCCGAUUAGGUAGUUGGUAGGGUAACGGCCUACCAAGCCUUUGAUCCGUAGCUGGUCUGAGAGGAUGAUCAGCCACACUGGGACUGAGACACGGCCCAGACUCCUACGGGAGGCAGCAGUGGGGAAUAUUGGACAAUGGGCGCAAGCCUGAUCCAGCAAUGCCGCGUGGAUGAAGAGGUUUUCGGAUUGUAAAGUCCUUUCGACGGGGACGAUGAUGACGGUACCCGUAGAAGAGCCCCGGCUAACUUCGUGCCAGCAGCCGC
rnacentral:rRNA from 1 species